UCCUGCGUAGUCUAGCAGUUAGGAUUCCUGGCUUUCACCCAGGCGGCCCGGAUUCGACUCCCAGCGCGGGAG
rfam:Trichobilharzia regenti genome assembly, scaffold: TRE_scaffold0018299